rnacentral:rRNA from 1 species
CAAUAGCGUAUAUUAAAGUUGUUGCGGUUAAAAAGCUCGUAGUUGGAUCUCGGCGGAUAGGGGGCGGUUCGUUGUAUGACGCUACUGUUCCAUUUAUCCGUGUUUUUGACGGAGGUUUCAGGGUGCUCUUAAUCGAGUGCUCUGGGAUGCCGUCAGGUUUACUUUGAAAAAAUUAGAGUGCUCAAAGCAGGCUUUACACGCUUGAAUAUUCGUGCAUGGAAUAAUAAAAUAGGACGUCGCUUCUAUUUUGUUGGUUUGUUGGGACUGAGUAAUGAUUAAGAGGGACAGUUGGGGGCAUUUGUAUUUCGGUGCUAGAGGUGAAAUUCUUAGAUUACCGAAAGACAAACUGCUGCGAAAGCGUCUGCCAAGGAUGUUUUCAUUGA